rnacentral:rRNA from 1 species
GAUGAACGCUGGCGGCGUGCCUAAUACAUGCAAGUCGAACGAAACUUCUUUAUCACCGAGUGCUUGCACUCACCGAUAAAGAGUUGAGUGGCGAACGGGUGAGUAACACGUGGGCAACCUGCCAAAAGAGGGGGAUAACACUUGGAAACAGGUGCUAAUAUCGCAUAACCAUAGUUACCGCAUGGUAACUAUGUAAAAGGUGGCUAUACUACCGCUUUUGGAUGGGCCCGCGGCGCAUUAGCUAGUUGGUAGGGUAAAGGCUUACCAAGGCAAUGAUGCGUAGCCGAAUUGAGAGGUUGAUCGGCCACAUUGGGACUGAGACACGGCCCAAACUCCUACGGGAGGCAGCAGUAGGGAAUCUUCCACAAUGGGCGAAAGCCUGAUGGAGCAACGCCGCGUGGGUGAAGAAGGUCUUCGGAUCGUAAAACCCUGUUGUUAGAGAAGAAAGUGCGUGAGAGUAACUGUUCACGUUUCGACGGUAUCUAACCAGAAAGCCACGGCUAACUACGUG